ACCCCCACCCCUAGUUGGUAGCCCCGGUCUCCGGACCGGGUCCACACUAGGGGGACUGCCGGCGUAAGCCGGAGGAAGGAGGGGGCCACGGCACGUGUCAGCAUGCCCCGAAACUCCUGGGCCGCACGCGGGUUACAAUGGCAGGGACAGCGGGAUUCCGACCCCGAAAGGGGGAGGUAAUCCCUUAAACCCUGCCGCAGUUGGGAUCGAGGGCUGAAUC
rnacentral:rRNA from 1 species